rnacentral:lncRNA from 1 species
UAGGAAAGUCGCUGCCGAUCAAGACACGGCUUUUGAUUAAAACAUUCAUGCAGCGCACUGUAAGUGGCAGCACCACAAUGAACAAAUGAGCUAGGAGUAGCUGUAACACCAAGAUUACAAAGUUCGUCAAAUUACACUUCCUUAUGAUGCAACCACUCACGCUUGGAAUCGGUCUUGACCCAUUUGCUUCCAUGUCCAAUUUCUUCCCUAUUCUUUUCUUCCUCUACUGAUUUUGGCUUGGGUUUGUCCACCAAUGUUUAUCUAUCAAGGAUGCUCGAGAUGCAUUUUGCCGGUCCAAAAUGCUCCUCAUGAAUAACUUGACUUCGUUUCAGACACUUAGAUGCAGAUGAGAACAAAACCACACAAGUUAAACAUGAUUGAAAGUAUUUUCUUGUGGAUCGUUGACAGUUGCUCGGAGUUACGGUUCUCCAUCAGUUGGAAAGGUGGCCUAUCAUCCUUAGGAGAAUGGAAUAAGACAGGCGAAAUGUUUACAAGUAUCAGAACAGUCCUCAAUUGUGGAAUCGGGCACACAAUUAAAUUACCAGAAUUGAGUAAAGACUAAUUCUACUAAACAAUUGUUGGACUGCAGCGGGCACGAAAAUUGACCUGUGAAGUAUUCUACGCGAGAAUCCAUAGCAGGAGUUUCUGAUUCCAGAGUACCAUGUCUUUGUCCCGAAAAUAGAAGAACAUUGCUCAUUUAGGAAGCUUGUAACUGACUUAACUUUGCCUUACUGCAACAUUACCGAUCUCCAGUUAUUUCGCACAACAGAUUGGGAAUGGGCAUUGGAGAGCCAUCCCUGGUCAAGCUACAGAAACCACGAACUCUCCUGUGAGUUAGGAAUCCUCUGAACAAGAAUGCGUGAAAUAUAAAUGUCCAAUAAAAGAGGACACUAAUUAGGAUUUUACAAGAAUGCAAUUCCAAACUGUCACUUCAUAUCCAUUCGACGUUCUUGAUGAACAGAAACUUUUGGGUUGUAAAGCAGCCGACCGGCUGCUCUUGGGCUUGGAAAAAGAUUUUACAAUUCAGGGCGGAAGUUAGACUGAGCUUUUCUUGGAAGAUAGGAGAUGGUUCAUCUGUGUCUAUGGUUUGACAACUGGCACCCGUGGGGGCCUUUAAACUUGUUUUUCUCGGAUGUGCUCAUCUACAGUUAUGGGGGUUGGAAUUCAAGUUGGCGGAAGACGACUUACCUUUAUCCGAUGCCCAAACAACAAUAAACCCCGGAACGAACAUUGAAUUGCUGAUGAAUCACGAACAAAAACACUUCACGUCGGUCUGAAUGCAAUCACGAGGAAAGCAGCCGAUUUCCACAACGUAAAUGCAGGUUGUUCUUUGUAAAAGUGAAAAUGGAAUGCCUUCUUCUUCUUUGAUGGAAAGGGAGAGAAAUUUUGGUGCGAAUGAUCUGCCAACCGGUGCCAAUGGUUGUCUACAAAAGACUUAUAUACGACACCCUUCAUACCAUUUCGAAAGAUAUAUUUCCAUCGUAACGUAUCAAGUCGAUACGGUGCGAUCCAAUCGCACCCCAUCAUGGACGUACUAGCUAAAGUACAACAUCUCCCACUAGGACAUGAUGGGCUUGAUAGCGCUCUAUCAAGGAUUUAAAGCAUUCAACAUUCAUCAACUUUACAAAACAAUUCAUACUGGCAAGUAAGCAGUGCGACCAGUGAGUACACCUGUACUUAGGAGCUCAACUUAUGCACUUGUUAGGGAUGACAUAAUGGCUACAACCCCGAAAAGAAAUAAACAAUCGAUGUUUCACGGUGUCCCAGACAUAUUUUGUUACAUCAAUCCAAGUAUACCUAUCCCUUAAAGGCUAUACUUGACUAUCCUAAAAAAACACCAUAUAUUUACAAUUAUAUCCGCAACCACAUAGGGCAAUAUAAUUGGUCGACCAGUAAAUACAUGUGAUAGAUGUAAAACAACAAUAGUCUUCCUUCGCACUCAUGUCUCUCUCCAUUUCAGAACAACUGCUUUCCUAGACACGUCCCAUAAGGCCAUAUCCAUUCAUGACCGCCGAUAAUAUGCUAAAGUAGCAACAUUGAUCUUUCACUUCGAAAACAUAGUCAGAAGUAACAUAGGGCACAAAAUGAGGUAAAUUAUAAAUUACCUCAAGGGCUCACACGAUGAGUAAAUAGGGAUAAUUUUACUCACAACCCCUUGUCGGUCGAACAAUGCACAUGUAGUAUGAAUUACAUGCUAUAGUGAAUUUCUCUUUCUAUAAGAGCGUAUGUCAUUUACUAAAUAUAUCCACUAUACGGAUCUUAGCUUAAACAUAGUCACGUGCUCCUCACGUACUCAUGUUUAGCUCGAGUGCUAUAUCAGCUCGCUUUCUAUAACGCCCAAUUAAGUACUCGCAUCCGACAUCUUUCAAGCAUACAUGAUUGUGGGACUAUCAUGUUCGAUCUUAUUAUAAACAAAUUACAAACCUCAUCUUAACUCCAAUCAAGGCAACAUCUUAUUUUAUGUACUAAACUUGCUCUUCAGCAUUUACUUGUACAUAAUGUCUCAUCUCAACGUGCUAACUAUAGCACUUGAGGUGAUUGCUCGUGUGAGUGAGCCAAUCAUUGAUUGCUGACAUACUUUUCAAUAAUAUAUAUAUAUAUAUAUAUAUAUAUAUAUAUAUGUGUAUGUGCUAGUCUUAUAGUGGAUUUGUACUUAUUGAUAAAACAUCAAAUCACUAAUGAACAAACAAGUACAAUACAUAUGUCCACAUAUACAUAAACCAAUGAUCCUCUACAAUAACACAUAUCAUAUUCUACGUAAUCCUAGUGACAUCAUGUGGGUCAAGAAUAUGUCUCUAGGAAUAGCCUUCGUAAAUGGAUCGACAAUCAUUAUAUUGGUUGAAAUGUAUUGUAGGAUCACUUCUUUCUGCGCUAUAAUAUCUCUGAUGAAGUUGUUCUUUAUGUCAAUGUGCUUCGUCCUUCCAUGAUAGUUGGGAUCUUUCACAUAGGCAAUGGCUGCUUAACUAUCGCAAUAAACUGUCACAGGUCUUGGAACCUUAAUAACAGUGGCUAAAUUUUUCAAGAAACGUUUUAGCCAUACCGCUUCUUGCACUGCGGCAAAACAUGCAAUAAAUUGAUAUUCCAAGAAAUUGCACCUCCAUUGAGCAAGAACGCAUAUCUAGAAGUCGAUUUACGCUCAUCCAGGUCUCCACCCCAAUCAGUAUCUGAAUAGCCUAAUAGGCGUAAAUCAUUCCCUUGGUAACAAAAUCGAUAGUCCAUAGUGCCUUUCAUGUAUCUUAGGAUCCUCUUCACUACUUUCCAGUGUGCUUGGCCGAGAUUUGAUUGAUAUCGGCUCACCAAUCCCACGGUAUAACAUAUGUCAGGUCGAGUACACAUCAUAGCAUACAUCAAACUUCUGACCGCACUAGCGUAAGGAACAGUUUCUAUUACUUUAAUUUCUUCUGGAGUUUUAGGACACAUCUUAGUACUUAGGCCUUCACCUUGCAUGACAGGGGUAUCAAUGGGAUUACAGUGCUACAUAUUGAAACGUUCAAGAAUCUUCAUAAUAUAAGACUCUUGUGAUAAAGUAAGGAGUUUUCUUGAUUGAUCUCUUUCGAUAUUAACUCCUAAUAUAUAAGCAGCUUCUCCCAUGUCCUUCAUUUCAAAAUUAGAGGACAACCAUUCUUUUAUGGUGAUAACUAAAACCUUGUCAUUUCCAGCCAACAGAAUAUCGUCCACAUAAAGUGAUAAAAUCACAAAUUUAUCUUUGGACCGCUUGACAUAUACACAAUGAUCUUCUUCGAUCAUCGUGAAACCAAAAGUUGUUAUGGCUCGAUGAAAACAAAGAUACCACUGUCUAGAUUAUUGCUUAAGGCCAUAUAUUGAGCGAUGAAGUUUACAAACUUUAUACUCUUGACCCUUAGCUAUGAACCUAUUGGUUGUUUCAUAUAAAUUUUCUCAUCUAGCUCUCCAUUAAGAAAUGCCGUUUUUACAUCCAUUUGAUGUAAUUCAAGGUCCAAAUGUGCAACGAUGGCUAGAAUAAAGCGUAUUGAGGCAAACCUUAUAACUGGUGAAAAUGUUUCCUCAUAGUCUAUACCCUUUUGUUGAGUAUAACCUUUCACCAUAAGGCGAGCCUUAUACUUUUCAAUGGAUCCAUUUGCCCUUUGCUUAAUCUUAAAGACCCAUUUGUUUCCAAUAGCCUUACGAUUGGGUGGUAGAUCAAUCAAAUCCCAGACAUGAUUUGCCCUCAUUGACUCCAUCUCAUCUUCCAAAGUAUUUCUCCAUUCUUCCUUAUCAGAGGAUGAGAGGGCCUCUUGAAUAGUCUUAGGCUUAGCAUCGUCUUUCUGAGCAAUCAUAAAUGCUUUCCCUUCAAUCUCAAAACGGCGACGAGGAAUGCUCUUACGAUUACUUUUACGCAACUGAAUUUCUCUUGAAUUCAAUUCGUCAGGUGAUGCUACACUCCCACUAGGUCUUGUGUGUUGGGGUAAAUCUUCAUUUCCCUCUACAAUAUUAGUGAGUGUGUUAUCAGGAUCUUCCAUCUCAUAUAAUUGGAAGUCUUUAUCAAGCUCACCUUUACUAGGAAAAUCGUUCUCCAAGAACGUGACAUCCCGUGACUCCAUUUCGGUCAUACUUCCAUCAGCUUGUUCACCUAUGAACACGUGCCCUUUGGAGUGUUCAGAAUAUCUUUAAAAGAUACAUUUCUUCCCUCUUGGGCCUAAUUUGCCAUAUUUAUGGAAAGAAUCAUGAACAUAAGCUGCACAUCCCCAUGGACGUAGAUUACUUAAGUCUGGCUUCCAACCAGUCCAUAAUUCAUAAGGGGUGGAAGUGACUGAUUUUGAGGGCACUCGGUUAAGUACAUAGGCAGCAGUCAAUAAUGCAUCUCCCCAAUAGGAGAUAGGUAAAUUUGCUUGUGCCAUCAUAGACCUAACCAUUUCCAUUAGGGUUCUAUUCCUUCUCUCAGCUACCCCAUUUUGUUGUGGAGUACAGGAAUAGUCAAUUGUUGUACAAUUUCCUUUUCAUUACAAAGAGUCUUGAAUUGCUCCGAUAGAUACUCACGUCCGCGAUUGGUUCUCAAUGCCUUUAUUGUUUUGUUUAACCGAUUCUCUACCAUCGUUAUAUAUCGUCUAAAGCAGCCUAAUGCUUCUGACUUAUAGGAGAUCAAAAAGACAUAACCAAACGUGUGAAGUCAUCUAUGGAAGUGAUGAAAUAUGGGAUGCCUCGCCCUCACAUUCAAAGGACCACAAAUGUCAGAAUGUAUGAGUUGCAAUGGAAAUUUGGCUCUGGUCCCUUUACCGAAUGAUUUUCUAGUUGCUUUUCCCGCUAUACAAUGUUCACAUACGGGUAGAUCAACAUUAGUGAGUGACCCUAAAAGGCAUUCUUUAGCUAAUCUUUGCAUUCUUUGCAACCCAAUGUGACCUAAUCUAGCAUGCCAAGUACUUGCAUCAAUCUCAACAUUACUAGAAGAUGCAAUUAAAGAAAAACAACCAUCGACCUUAAUAUUGUAAUGAUCAUAGUUAAAACCAUUCGAUACAUGACCUGAACCAUAAUAAACUGUUCCAUACAAAAUGUCAAAACAAUCACCAUGAAAAUUCAAUACAUAACCUAAGCUAAGAAGAACAACUACGGAGACCAAGUUUCGUCGAAUAUCCAGAGCAUAGAGGACAUCAUGUAGGAAUAGGCUUUGACCACCACAUAAAAUUAAUUUACAUGUACCGAUACCCUUCACUUCAACUCUUGAGUUAUUUCCAACAUCUAUCCAUCUUCUUCCAAGUUGUAUUCGAUGAUACUCCAUAAAUGCUUCUCGGUCUCUAGCUACAUGGUAUGUUGCUCCUGAGUCUAUAGUCCUAUUGGAUGUGAUCCAGCAAGCAUUACAGUACUAGAAACAAAAGCAUUACUUAAAGUAAUGGAGUAAUAGGGUACCUCUUUCGGCUCAGUGCAUUCACGAGCAAAGUGACCCAUCUUGCCACAAUUGUAGCAAUUCAUCUUGGCCUUAUCCUUCUUCCUACCAUGCUUCUUGCGUUGGAAGGUCUUAGCCCUUUUAGAUGCUUGAUCAGUCUUCUUCCCUUUGUUGUUGAAUUGAGAAUUCCUUUUGCGCUUAAAGCCCGAAGCUUUGCGCAAGCUCGAUUCAGCAACAUAAGUAUGGGUAGAGGAUCUCGCAGCCUUUAGGCGCUCAUCCUCUAAUUUCAAAUGACGCGCUAUAUCAUCAAAAUUGACAAUAUUCUCAUUAUGCGUCAUAUUGAUCUUCAUAUGCUCCCAAUUGUCAGGAAGAGACAUUAUAACAGCUUGAACUUGCUGUUCAUCAAUAAAGGAGUGACCUGCCGAUUUCAACUCACGAAUCAUAUUUGACAUCUCCCGAAGAUGCUGCCUCAUCGUUACAUUUGGGCGCUUUCGGUAUGUGUCAAACUUGAUGGUAAGUCUCAUCAGCUUAGUGGCAGAUGUACUCCCAAACUUAUCUUUCAAGGCAACCCACAUAACUUGAGCUUUAUCAUAACUUUCAAACUCACACAUGAAAUCAUCAUGCAUACAACUCAGCAACGUGAUGCGAGCAAUGCUAUUUUUCUUUUUCCAAGCUUGAUAAGCUUCUAGAUCUCUCCUGUGUUGAGCUGAAGUUCCAUGCUCAGGUUCAUCCAUGGUGUGGUUGAGGGUUUCCAAAACCUCUUGCUCCUUAAGGAUAUACUGAACCUUUCAGUGCCAAAUAUCAUAAUUGUCACCGUUCAGCUUCUCACCCUUAUUGAGGUCAGCCACAAUGGUCUUGGAUGCCAAAGCCAUAAUCAAUUGCUAUAACACAUUGACAUAAUAAACGCAGAAUCAAUACUAGCACACUUUUCAGAGUAACACACAUAUUUAAUUUGCAGCAAAGACAAACUAAAUUAAUGAUAAAUCAACAAAAGACAUUGAAACGAAAGUUCAAUAUGUUCCCAAUCAGCUCCUAUGUAUAAUUGUUCUAUUAUCAUUAAUUAGUUUAAUUUGCACAAAUUUUAAGUUCUAGGUGAGAACUCCUUCGAAUUCUACCAACCUACGAACUCCCACUAGGAAAAAUAACUACAUGAUCUCAUGUAAUUACUACAUUUUUCCACUAACACAACAACAUAGCAUGAUGUAAACCAACGUACAAAAUAACAAUCAUGCAGCAACUCUAAUCAAAACCACAAUUCAACGUGUAACGGAAAAACAAGAAUUUCCUACCAUUGUUCGAAUUUUAUUGGAACUAGAAAAUUGCAAGUAUAUUAAACUUUAUACAUGCUACCAUCAAACCAAGCUCUACACAACAUAUAUGACAUCAUUUUCAUAUAGGUUAGCUACUGUAUUUCCUAAAACAUAAGAAAAUACUAACUAUAAAUGAAUAAAUUGUGCAUUAAUACCUUAAAAAUACGCGUACUUAGGGUUCCAUACACAAUUUCAUACAUUUAUAAACUUCAAAAAUAAAAAAAUUACUAUACCACAGUGUAGGGGACAUCCAUACGAACCAAACACCACCGACCACUCUCCAAUUAGAGCUCGCACGGGCCCACACGCGCCGCCUGAGUGCGCGGCUCGUGUGGCGCACGCGCCAGAAAGCCAAAAGGCUCCUAGCCGAUCUGAUCGGUUUGACCGUUGAUCGAUCAACAGUCUGGUCGAGUCGAGUCAACGGGUCGGACGUUGGGUCGGGUCGGGUCGUGGGUCGGGUCGCCGGUCAGUGACCGACUGGCCAACUGCUGCCAGCAAUGACGUCAUCAAUGACGCCAUCCGACAGUUACCGACGAUUGGAUGACGUCAUGGAUGACGUCAUACAUGCCGUUUUGCGACGCGCGCAUGACGCUCAUGCGCUGACUCUUCCAGCGCGUGGCACCCACGUGCCGCGGCUUCUAGCCGCGCGUGUGGGCGUGUCCGACCUCCUCCGGCAGCACUCAACCCAUCACCAGACUCGUCUCGACAAGUACUUUCACCUUGUAUAUUUGAAAAUUCAUUUUGGCCGAAAAAAUAUUUCGAAAAUGGCCAAAACCAUACGGGUGUACGCGUCCCCGAACCCGUUCUUCGCUUCGGUUCGUUUUUGACUAUUCAGAUUGCAAUUCCGAGUAAGAAACAUGCAAACAGUGUAGAUUUUAUACUCUUGAUCUCAAUAUCAAAUGGAAUCUAGAAAAUUCGAUGAAAAACAAGGCAGAAAUCACAACCGAGCUCUGAUACCAAUGUUGGAAUUCAAGUCAACGGAAGACGACUUACCUUUAUUCGAUGCCCAAACAACAAUUAACCCCGAAAUGAAUGUUGAAUUGCUGAUGAAUCACGAACAAAAACACUUCACAUCGGUCUGAAUGCAAUCACGAGGAAAGCACCCGAUUUCCACAGCGUAAAUGCCGAUUGUUCUUUGUAAAAGUGAAAAUGGAAUGCCUUCUUCUUCUUUGAUGGAAAGGGAGAGAAAUUUUGGUGCGAAUGAUCUGCCAACCGGUGCCAAUGGUUGUCUACAAAAGACUUAUAUACGACACCCUUCAUACCCUUUCGAAAGAUAUAUUUCCAUCGUAACGUAUCAAGUCGAUAAGGUGCGAUCCAAUCGCACCCCAUCAUGGACAUACUAGCUAAAGUACAACACUGGGCUAUCUAGGCAGGCUAUGGUGGCUGACAUUUUUUUUUUCUGACAAUGGCCAAACACUCAAGGAGGAGAUUGAAGCUUGGGGAUCGCCUCUUCCCUCCCUGUCCCGGUGCUAAGAUCAUUUUUGGUGGAGAGGGGAAUCGUCGGGCCUUUCCUCUAUUGCCUCGGCGUGAGAGGCUAUCCGUAGGAAGAAAGGCCGUGUCAAGUGACAUUCCUUCAUUUGAAACAAGGACAGUUUGCCUCGGUAUCAAUUUAUUCUUUGGCUCAUAACCAGGCGUAGGCUUCCAACCCAAUCUCUCCAACUUAUGGAAGAAUUGAGGCUGCUUCUUGUCCUUUUUGUAAUGAUAUGCCGGACUCCGUUGACCAUCUCUUUUUUGGUUGUCGUAUUACAUCUACUCUUGCCUUCUUUUGGGAGACUAGAUGUAACUUGCCUUGGCGCAACGGAUCUCGGGAGGACAACUUGAGUUGGGCCAUUUCUUUACUCUCGGGGAAGGAGUUUUACAAGUGUAUGGUCCGGUUUUCCUUCGGUGCGAUCUGCCACAUCAUCUGGAAGAACAGGGACAACAUACUCUUCAGGGGAGAGCCGAUUUCUGUUUUGGCCAUGAAGAAGCAUAUUUCUUAAAGUUGUGAAAGACAAGGCCUUGUCCUUCAAGAAUGUGGAGGAUUCACUUAGAAAUAGGAGGCUUCAAUGCUCUUGGGAUCUUGAUCCCAUUAUCUUCUCUUCGGGGGACCCCCAUUUGGCUGGUUGAUUCUCGGGUGCAAUGCUGCGGGUGCUGCCUUGUCCUGGAUGGAUGCUGGGUCCCUUCGCUUUCUUGUCUUGUUGGGUUGUUUUGGUUGCUUUUGGCGUGUUUUCUGCAUUUGUUGUUGUCUUGCCGGCUGUUUUGGUGCCGUGCCUCCUUUUGUUUAGGACUGCUUUGGUUUUGCCGCGUCUGCAUCUUUUACAUUUGGGCACUCUUCCACUCAGGUUGAUUUCUCUUCCUAAGUGUAAGUUUUUUUGUGCCUGAAUCUUUUGUACAUUUGACUAUCCUCUUUUUAUUAAUACCCUUUCUACCCAAAAAAAAAAAACUCUGUCACUUCAUUAAAAUGAACAGAGUACACAGCAGGAGGCAUCCAACAAUUAUUAUCAAUGAUAAAAAUGACUUUUGAACUUCAGCUUCUUUUAUUUUUGUUAGAUAUUUACAUAAUUACUAUAUUGAGAUUAAGCUAAAUCUUAGAACAACUAUUUCUACAGGGGAAAAGCUCGAUCAUGAAUAUCACCUUAAGAUUUCCUGUAGGCCAUAGUUGAUUGAUCUUCUACUUCCAAAGUAUCAACACCAACAAAGGAACUUUAUAACUAAGAGAUUGACUUGGCAACAUGAUAGCAAUGCUCAAGACUGUGCAUCUCAGGCCUUGUGCUAGCACAAUAUCAAUAAAGAUGAGGAAUUGUAAUCAACUAUGAUCUUCUUACAAAAAUGAUUUUCUCUCCGGUUAUGCAUUUUUCGUGUAUGUCUACACUCAUAAACAAAACUAAACAUGUCAUAGCCAGAGCAGAGAAAAGUUAACGAAUCAUAAUACCACCUGUGGUAGUUCAUCUUAUCCAUAUAAACCCAAUGCAAAGAAUUUCUCCCACAUCGAUGGCAGCUGAUUUGCAACUCUGCUGAUGCUCAUCCGUCUUCCAGACACUUCACUGGAACAAGCGACUCCAAUAUCAUUUACCAUG